GUGUUGUAUGAAACAAGGUCAGCACUUCCCUCGACGAGGACGGAAGAGACCCUCAGGCUUAACAAUAUGCACACACACUUAAGGCACUGCCACCUACGUCUUGGCAUCUAACCAUCGUUUUUC
ensembl:snRNA U6atac minor spliceosomal RNA